rnacentral:rRNA from 1 species
AUGCCUUGGGUUGGCUCUCCCACUCCAUGUGACCAAGAUGACGAGGCUCUGUUUGCUGCUGCUACAAAUAUCACUAUGGGCAAUGGUUCGCGGUCUCACUUCUGGCAGGACCGAUGGCUUCAUGGUGAGGUGCCUUGUCAACUAGCACCUGACGUCUUCCGUCUCUGCUACAGGAAGAAUUUAUCAGUGGCACAGGGAUUCACAUACCAACGCUGGUUGUCGGGUUUGCAUCGUAUCUCUACUGAGCCCGAGCCUCGUCAGUUCACCCUUCUUUGGACAAAGCUGGGACACUUUGUUCUGGACCCGAACAGGGAUGAUAGCAUCUCUUGGAACCGCACUGCCUCGACGACAUACACUGCCAGAUCGGCAUAUCACGCUCAAUUUCUUGGUUCUGCACCGGUUGCUAACUGCGACAAGUUGUGGAAGGCCAAAGUCGAGGGCAAAUGCAGGUUCUUCUUCUGA